GACGAACGCUGGCGGCGUGCUUAACACAUGCAAGUCGAACGGAAAGGCCCUGCUUUUGUGGGGUGCUCGAGUGGCGAACGGGUGAGUAGCACGUGAGUAACCUGCCCUUGACUUUGGGAUAACUUCAGGAAACUGGGGCUAAUACCGGAUAGGAGCUCCUGUUGCAUGGGGGGGGUUGGAAAGUGUCGGCGGUUGGGGAUGGACUCGCGGCUUAUCCGCUUGUUGGUGGGGUAGUGGCUUACCAAGGCUUUGACGGGUAGCCGGCCUGGGAGGGUGACCGGCCCCAUUGGGCCUGAGAUGCGGCCAAGACUCCUACGGGAGGCAGGAGUGGGGACUAUUGCACAAUGGGCGGAGGCCUGAUGCAGCAACGCCGGGUGCGGGAUGACGGCCUUCGGGUUGUAACCCGCUUUCGCCUGUGACGAAGCGUGAGUGCCGGUACUGGGUAAAGAAGCACCGGCUACCUACGU
rnacentral:rRNA from 1 species